CCAUGUAAAAUCAGUGAAGAUUAAAAUAGUUAUAACUCAGCAACCGUUUAGUGGAUGCGUUUUCAAUUUUUUGCAAUACAUUAGGGAAACUAAAAGAACAAUUUCACAAAUUUUUAGCAACUUUGUACUAUUUUGAACUUUAGUCCGAUACACAUCCUUAAACGUUCAUAUCUUCGGUGUCUGUCAUCCUACAGGCUGUUUCGAGUGCUCAUCUUAAAGCUCUUGAAACGCACUUUAAUCUUUCAUAAAUCGAAAUUUGUGAAAAAAAAAUUUAUUUGUUAUAAACAACUAUAUUAUUUAAACGUCAUUUUCAAGAUGAGAACACGCUUCGAAAAUUUUGAAAAAAAUAUGAACAUAUUCUUUAAUCAAUUCUCUAAAAAACUAUUAAGUUGCAAAAUGGAACUCCGAUGGAAACUAUUUUUAAACAGCGAUUGAUUCAUGGGUGGUUGGCGCGUGACGGCGCGGGUCGGCGCAUGUCGCUUUACACGCACGAUGCUGUACACGCAGUUGAAGAAUAAUUGCGUACAAAGCAUCUUCUCUCUAAUAUUACUCUGCUCUUCCAGUGUCAUCAAUAGGUAUGUACAAUCGAAAUAAACUGCGGUUCAAACAAGUACAAAUGAGGUAAGUACAAACGAAUUGUACUUAAAAUUUUUUUUAAUCAAGCGACAAGUUUACAUCGGUGUGUAAGAUUCCUCUUCCCCCCAAAACUGUAAAUAUUUUAGAGGAAAUAAAUGCAUGUUAACUAUUAUUAAAUUGAUUAUCAUACUGUGAUAUUACUAAUCUCCUUCAUCUUAUAACUGUUUUAAGGUCGAAAAAUCUAUUCAGCGCACAGUUCACUGAACUUUGAAAGGUAUCUCAAAUCACACAAGUAAGUAAAACACGACAAUCCAGCUAUGACCGAAUAAGGCUUAUUCUCUAUUAAUUGUUGUUUUCACAUAUCGGUCUAUAUUCUCUUACUGUUAUUAUGUAAAUAAUUUAUUGCAAAAAAUAAUACCUCAGGCAGGAUUUGAACUUGGAUUUCGCCACAUUCCAUGCGAGAAUCUUCUGAAUUCGACUACCAAGACAUAUAGCAUCAUUCUUCGCAAUAACCAAUAUAAGUUAAAAACUGUCUUUUUUUCAGGUAACGUAAUGUCAACAAUAGUAACUGAAAUAGGACCGAUAAAAAUGUCAAACAUAAAGAUAAAGAUAAUAAUUUUGGUGUGAUUUUUGUCAUCUCCAGUUCAUAUGAACUGCGCGCCGCAAUUUUUUUAUCAGUCUUAAAACACAGUUCACUACAUGAAGCCAAAUCUUUCAACAUUCCGUGCGGGCGUCUUCCCAAUUCAAUUACCAAAGGAUAUUUUAUUCUUCGCAAUAAUCAAUAAGUUAAAAAAUCUUUAUCUUUAUACAAUAAUAAGUAUUGAACCGAUGAAAAUGUUGAACAUAAAGAUAAAAACGAAAUUGCUAUGUUAGUCCACAGCCGAAUCUUGGAAUAAUAAUUCUUGUGCAAAUUUAAUAUUUCCAGUUCAUAUGACCUGUGAACCAAUAUUUUUGUUAGUCUUAAAACCCACUAGCCAAAUAUCAACGUUUAAAAAUAUUUAUAAGACCCUCCCUUUUCCCGAAAAAAUUGUAAUUAAUUUAUUGCAAAAAGUAUGCGAAAAGUAACGUGAUGCCUCAGCCAGGAUUUAAACAUGGAUCUUCCCAAGUACUGUGCAGGCGUCCUCUCAAUUCGACCACUAAAAUAUAUAUUAUUAUUCUUCACAUUAAUCAAUAUAUUUUAGAGUAACAUCUUUUAGGCGAUGUGUAGAUACAAAAAUAAGAUAAGUAUUAGAUCAAUGAAAAUAUGUUUUGAGACUGUUGGCGCGCAGUUUAUACAAACUGGGAAAUAUUAAAACAAGAAUCACACAAAAAUUAAUAUUUAGUCGACCAAAAUUGAUAUGGUAAUUUCAAUUUGUUAUCUUUAUGUGUAACAUCUUUAUUUUUAUGUUUGACGUUUUCAUCGGUUUUAUUUCAGUUGUUAUCGCUGACAUUACGUAACAUGAAAAAAGAUGUUUUUUUAACUUAAAUUACUUUUUGUGGAGAAUAAUACCACACGCCUUGAUAGUCGAAUUGGAAAGAUGUCAGCACGAAAUGUUGGGAGAUUCAGAUUCAAAUACUGGCUAAGAUAUUAUAUUACUUUUCGCAAUAAAUUAUUUUGCAAUUUUUAGGAAGGAAAAUCUUAUAGAUACUUCUGAGCAUUAAAAUUAUUAAAUGCUUGCCAAUUUAAUUUGCGCAUUCUCGUUUUAUGUAAUAAUUGUGUUGUGUUUCGAGACUAGCAAAAAAUACACCACACAGUUCAUAUGAACUGGAAAUAGUAAAAAUCACUAAAUAAUUUUUGUACCAAGAACCACUGUAGAUACCGAUGAUCUCAUCUUUUGUGUUGAUCUCAUCUUUAUGUGUAUUUAGUUAUUAAUCAUAUUAUUUUUAUUACUACUUUCUGAAAUUUAAUAUUCAAAACUCGCUUUUCUUGUAUAAGAUUUAUUUUUUUUGUAUAAGAUCAAAAUAUAUAAAAAAAUUAUUUUAUUUUAACUAGAUUUAAAAAUUUCUUUAAUUGUAUUGAAAAUUUGAAAUAAAAUUUCUGGAAAAACAGGAAAAAUUUUUAAGGAAUUCUACAAAAUUUGCAACACAUCGUGCUUAUAUUUGUAUUUUACUAAUUGUAAAUAAAAUAAAAUUUUCAAGUCCAUAUAUUUAAAGGACUGUUGAAUGGCAUUCAUUCAACAGUCCUUUAAAAAAUUCAAAAUAAACUUUUAAACUAAAAAAAACUUUUACAGUAAAUGCUAUUUGUUAUUUAAUGAAUUACUACAUUAUCUAAAAUAUUAAUAUGAUUAAUAUUACAUCACAGUGCAAUUAUCAAAACACAUUUGUAUCAAUUGUAUCAAUUUAUUACUCUGGUAUUAUCAUAAGCCUUAUUUCCAAAUAAAACAAUAAAUCACAACAAAAUCAAAAUGACAAAAACGAAUCAUGAUUGGCUAAUGAUUUUCAAUAAUCAAAAACAUAAAAAAUAAUACAACGAAGAAAGUACAGUAAAAACAUAUAUUACUAUGAUAUAUUUUAGAUAUCUCGGAAGGUGAUCAAGUGCAAAAUCUUUGAUAGUACAACUGUACUUAUAAGAUGCUAAAUGUCACGUUGUAUCACUUUAAAAAAAAUUUAAGAUCUUGUUUAUCUGAUAUUACAAAUAUAACCAAAUGUAUAUGUUUAAUAAAUACUGGAGCAUAAGAAUUGAAAAAAAUUGCAAAUUUUUAUUUUGAUCAUUUUGACAUUGCAAUAAUUUUUUGUUUUGGUUAGUUUUGUUUUCACAUUAACAACACAUGACACAUUUCAGAAACAUUUCUGUUGCAACAUUUCAUGUGACAUUUUGCAGAAAUCUUUCUGAAUUCUUAAACAAAAUGUGAAAGGUCAAAACCUUUCUGAAAGCUUUCCGCAACAAUUGAUGCUGUGUGGGUUACUAAUAAAAAAUGUUAAUAAUAAUUUCAAAUUGAAAAUUAACACAAAAAUUUAAAAAAA